rnacentral:misc_RNA from 1 species
ACAAUAGGAGAUUUCUUCAACAGCCUCAAGACAUCUGCCAUACGGAUUUAUGUUCAUACAGAGUUGAAGACUUCAUUGCCAGUUGAUUCUUCAGAUGAUGAUUUACCUUCUAUCAACAGACAGCCCAGCAUCAAUCACAGGUUGAAGCCGAGCACCAGACUGCAUUUUUAAGACAGAGGGCGCCGUAUAAAAAAUAACAGCUCCAUCUUCGGUGCAACGUCCAUUUUCACCUCGGGGAAUCUACACAAUGACGAUAACUACCGCUGAGUACCGACUACUGCUCCUAAUCGAGAUGAAAAAGACAGACUGUACAGAGCAGACUUUGGAAAAAAGAUAUCUUUUGAGAAAAAUAGUAGCUCGGAAUAUUUUAAAAGUCAAAUAGAAGAACAGUAUCCAAAACUUAUUGGGAU